rnacentral:rRNA from 1 species
AGUGAACGCUGGCGGUAGGCCUAACACAUGCAAGUCGAACGGCAGCACAGUAAGAGCUUGCUCUUACGGGUGGCGAGUGGCGGACGGGUGAGGAAUACAUCGGAAUCUACUUUUUCGUGGGGGAUAACGUAGGGAAACUUACGCUAAUACCGCAUACGACCUACGGGUGAAAGCAGGGGAUCUUCGGACCUUGCGCGAUUGAGUGAGCCGAUGUCUGAUUAGCUAGUUGGCGGGGUAAAGGCCCACCAAGGCGACGAUCCGUAGCUGGUCUGAGAGGAUGAUCAGCCACACUGGAACUGAGACACGGUCCAGACUCCUACGGGAGGCAGCAGUGGGGAAUAUUGGACAAUGGGCGCAAGCCUGAUCCAGCCAUACCGCGUGGGUGAAGAAGGCCUUCGGGUUGUAAAGCCCUUUUGUUGGGAAAGAAAAGCAGCAGGUUAAUACCCCGCUGUUCUGACGGUACCCAAAGAAUAAGCACCGGCUAACUUCGUG